CAGAACAUAGCUUAAAUAAAGCAUUUUGCUUACACCAAAAAAAUAUCUGACGUAGAUUGUUCUG
rnacentral:tRNA from 1 species